rnacentral:rRNA from 1 species
AGAGUUUGAUCAUGGCUCAGAUUGAACGCUGGCGGCAGGCCUAACACAUGCAAGUCGAACGGUAACAGGAAGCAGCUUGCUGCUUCGCUGACGAGUGGCGGACGGGUGAGUAAUGUCUGGGAAGCUGCCUGAUGGAGGGGGAUAACUACUGGAAACGGUAGCUAAUACCGCAUAAUGUCGCAAGACCAAAGAGGGGGACCUUCGGGCCUCUUGCCAUCGGAUGUGCCCAGAUGGGAUUAGCUUGUUGGUGGGGUAACGGCUCACCAAGGCGACGAUCCCUAGCUGGUCUGAGAGGAUGACCAGCCACACUGGAACUGAGACACGGUCCAGACUCCUACGGGAGGCAGCAGUGGGGAAUAUUGCACAAUGGGCGCAAGCCUGAUGCAGCCAUGCCGCGUGUAUGAAGAAGGCCUUCGGGUUGUAAAGUACUUUCAGCGGGGAGGAAGGGAGUAAAGUUAAUACCUUUGCUCAUUGACGUUACCCGCAGAAGAAGCACCGGCUAACUCCGUGCCAGCAGCCGCGGUAAUACGGAGGGUGCAAGCGUUAAUCGGAAUUACUGGGCGUAAAGCGCACGCAGGCGGUUUGUUAAGUCAGAUGUGAAAUCCCCGGGCUCAACCUGGGAACUGCAUCUGAUACUGGCAAGCUUGAGUCUCGUAGAGGGGGGUAGAAUUCCAGGUGUAGCGGUGAAAUGCGUAGAGAUCUGGAGGAAUACCGGUGGCGAAGGCGGCCCCCUGGACGAAGACUGACGCUCAGGUGCGAAAGCGUGGGGAGCAAACAGGAUUAGAUACCCUGGUAGUCCACGCCGUAAACGAUGUCGACUUGGAGGUUGUGCCCUUGAGGCGUGGCUUCCGGAGCUAACGCGUUAAGUCGACCGCCUGGGGAGUACGGCCGCAAGGUUAAAACUCAAAUGAAUUGACGGGGGCCCGCACAAGCGGUGGAGCAUGGGGUUUAAUUCGAUGCAACGCGAAGAACCUUACCUGGUCUUGACAUCCACGGAAGUUUUCAGAGAUGAGAAUGUGCCUUCGGGAACCGUGAGACAGGUGCUGCAUGGCUGUCGUCAGCUCGUGUUGUGAAAUGUUGGGUUAAGUCCCGCAACGAGCGCAACCCUUAUCCUUUGUUGCCAGCGGUCCGGCCGGGAACUCAAAGGAGACUGCCAGUGAUAAACUGGAGGAAGGUGGGGAUGACGUCAAGUCAUCAUGGCCCUUACGACCAGGGCUACACACGUGCUACAAUGGCGCAUACAAAGAGAAGCGACCUCGCGAGAGCAAGCGGACCUCAUAAAGUGCGUCGUAGUCCGGAUUGGAGUCUGCAACUCGACUCCAUGAAAUCGGAAUCGCUAGUAAUCGUGGAUCAGAAUGCCACGGUGAAUACGUUCCCGGGCCUUGUACACACCGCCCGUCACACCAUGGGAGUGGGUUGCAAAGAAGUAGGUAGCUUAACCUUCGGGAGGGCGCUUACCACUUUGUGAUUCAUGACUGGGGUGAAGUCGUAACAAGGUA